rnacentral:rRNA from 1 species
AGAGUUUGAUCCUGGCUCAGGACGAACGCUGGCGGUAUGCUUAACACAUGCAAGUCGAACGAGAAGGAAGUGCUUGCACUUCCUGAAAGUGGCGAACGGGUGAGUAACGCGUGGGUAACCUACCCUUUGGAAAGGAAUAGCCCCGGGAAACUGGGUGUAAUACCUUAUAAGAUACGAGAGUCGCAUGGCUUUCAUAUUAAACGGCCUGGCGCUUCAUGAUGAGCCCGCGGCCUAUCAGCUUGUUGGUGAGGUAACGGCUCACCAAGGCUAAGACGGGUAGCUGGUCUGAGAGGACGAUCAGUCACACUGGAACUGAGACACGGUCCAGACACCUACGGGUGGCAGCAGUCGAGAAUCUUUCUCAAUGGGCGAAAGCCUGAAGGAGCGACGCCGCGUGGGGGAUGAAUGGCUUCGGCUAGUAAACCCCUGUCAUUUGCGAACAAACCUUACUGUUUAAUAGAUGGUAAGCUGAGGGUAGCGAAAGAGGAAGGGACGGCUAACUCUGUGCCAGCAGCCGCGGUAAUACAGAGGUCCCAGCGUUGUUCGGAUUCACUGGGCGUAAAGGGUGCGUAGGCGGUCGGGAAAGUUUGAUGUGAAAGCUCCGAGCUCAACUUGGAAAUUGCAUUGAAAACUAUCCGACUAGAGGAUUGUAAGGGAGACUGGAAUUCUCGGUGUAGCAGUGAAAUGCGUAGAUAUCGAGAGGAACACCAGUGGCGAAGGCGAGUCUCUGGACAAUUCCUGACGCUGAGGCACGAAAGCUAGGGGAGCAAACAGGAUUAGAUACCCUGGUAGUCCUAGCCGUAAACGGUGCACGCUUGCUGUGGGCGGAUUCGACCCCGUCCGUGGCGGAGCUAACGCGUUAAGCGUGCCGCCUGGGGAGUACGGUCGCAAGAUUAAAACUCAAAGAAAUUGACGGGGGCCUGCACAAGCGGUGGAGUAUGUGGCUUAAUUCGAUGCAACGCGAAGAACCUUACCUGGCCUUGACAUGCAGGGAUUAUUUGGGUGAAAGCCCGAAAAUUGCCGCAAGGUGUAACCUGCACAGGUGCUGCAUGGCUGUCGUCAGCUCGUGUCGUGAGAUGUUGGGUUAAGUCCCGCAACGAGCGCAACCCUUGUGUCCUGUUGCCACCCGAACUUAAGUUCGGAGCACUCUGGACAGACUGCCUCGCUUAAACGAGGAGGAAGGUGGGGAUGACGUCAAGUCAGUAUGGCCCUUACGGCCAGGGCUGCACACGUACUACAAUGCCUGGCACAAUGGGACGCAAGACCGCAAGGUGGAGCAAAUCCUCAAAGCCGGGCCCAGUUCAGAUUGUAGUCUGCAACUCGACUACAUGAAGCCGGAAUCGCUAGUAACGGCGCAUCAGCUACGGCGCCGUGAAUACGUUCCCAGGCCUUGUACACACCGCCCGUC